GAUGAACGCUGGCGGCGUGCCUAAUACAUGCAAGUCGAGCGAACAGACGAGGAGCUUGCUCCUCUGACGUUAGCGGCGGACGGGUGAGUAACACGUGGAUAACCUACCUAUAAGACUGGGAUAACUUCGGGAAACCGGAGCUAAUACCGGAUAAUAUAUUGAACCGCAUGGUUCAAUAGUGAAAGACGGUUUUGCUGUCACUUAUAGAUGGAUCCGCGUCGCAUUAGCUAGUUGGUAAGGUAACGGCUUACCAAGGCAACGAUGCGUAGCCGACCUGAGAGGGUGAUCAGCCGCAAUGGAACCUGGACACGGUCCAAACGCCGAAGGGAGGCCACAGUAUGGAAACAUGCGCAAUGGGCCAAAGCCUGACGGAGCAACGCCGCGUGGGUGAUGAAGGUCUUCGGUUCGUAAAACUCUUUUAUUAGGGAAGAACAAAUGUGUAAGUAACUAUGCACGUCUUGACGGUACCUAAUCAGAAAGCCACGGCUAACUACGUG
rnacentral:rRNA from 1 species